AAAAAGCCUCGAAAAGCCCUGAAAAAACGAGUCUUCAUGUACUAAGAUAAGACUGUAUAGGAUUCGGGGGCUUACGAUUUCUUUUCAUGUCUUGUGAUUUUCGGGAGGGUUUGGGAAAAAAUGUCCUUAGUAUUUACAUGAUACAUGAGUGUCAAUAUUAGAGAAAAACCGGCUAAGUGCGAGUCAGAAUCGCGCACUGAGGGUUCCGUACUCGGGUAUUUUUUCCGACACUUUGCACGAUAAAUCAAAAACUGUUAUGCUUAAAAAUAAAUAACAAUCUGUUUUAGAAAGUACAAGUAAAGGCCUUUCAUUUGGUACCCCACUUGAUACAGUUAUCUUACUUUAAAAAUAGAAAAUAAGAAAUUAUUAGUUUAUUAUUUUUUAUUUUAUUUUUU